rnacentral:rRNA from 1 species
GAACGGUAACAGGCCGCAAGGUGCUGACGAGUGGCGAACGGGUGAGUAAUACAUCGGAACGUGCCCGAUCGUGGGGGAUAACGCAGCGAAAGCUGUGCUAAUACCGCAUACGAUCUACGGAUGAAAGCGGGGGAUCGCAAGACCUCGCGCGGACGGAGCGGCCGAUGGCAGAUUAGGUAGUUGGUGGGGUAAAGGCCUACCAAGCCGACGAUCUGUAGCUGGUCUGAGAGGACGACCAGCCACACUGGGGCUGAGACACGGCCCAGACUCCUACGGGAGGCAGCAGUGGGGAAUUUUGGACAAUGGGCGCAAGCCUGAUCCAGCCAUGCCGCGUGCAGGAUGAAGGCCUUCGGGUUGUAAACUGCUUUUGUACGGAACGAAAAGGUUUCUUUUAAUACAGGGAACUGAUGACGGUACCGUAAGAAUAAGCACCGGCUAACUACGUGCCAGCAGCCGCGGUAAUACGUAGGGUGCGAGCGUUAAUCGGAAUUACUGGGCGUAAAGCGUGCGCAGGCGGUGAUGUAAGACAGAGGUGAAAUCCCCGGGCUCAACCUGGGAACUGCCUUUGUGACCGCAUCGCUGGAGUGCGGCAGAGGGGGAUGGAAUUCCGCGUGUAGCAGUGAAAUGCGUAGAUAUGCGGAGGAACACCGAUGGCGAAGGCAAUCCCCUGGGCCUGCACUGACGCUCAUGCACGAAAGCGUGGGGAGCAAACAGGAUUAGAUACCCUGGUAGUCCAC